rnacentral:misc_RNA from 1 species
GUUAAAGAGAUUCUGGUUCGUGAAGGCCAAAUUGUACAAAAAGGUCAGCAACUGCUCUUAAUCGAUGAUACCCGCUUCCGCUCAGAUUUUCGCGAACGCGAACAGCAAGUGGCGAACCUGACAGCCAGUGUAUUGCAACUAUCAGCGUCGAUCACCAGCGUGAGUGUCAAUGAAGACGUCAGUGAAAAAUCUUGGCAACAAAGUGUUCAACUCGACUUCAGUAAACUGGCCUUUCCACCAGAGCUUGAAGAACGUCAACCAAAGCUCGUCGCCCGCCAACGUGCUGAGUACCGUCAAGAC